rnacentral:misc_RNA from 1 species
GAUGAAGGACGUAGCGAAAUGCGAUAAGUAAUGUGAAUUGCAGAAUUCAGUGAAUCAUCGAAUCUUUGAACGCACAUUGCGCCCGCCAGUAUUCUGGCGGGCAUGCCUGUUCGAGCGUCAUUUCAACCAUCAAGCCCCAGGCUUGUGUUGGGGACCUGCGGCUGCCGCAGGCCCUGAAAACCAGUGGCGGGCUCGCUGUCACACCGGGCGUAGUAGAUUUUAUCUCGCUCAGGGCGUGCUGCGGGUCCCGGCCGUUAAAAGCCUUUUUUUACCCAAGGUUGACCUCGGAUCAGGUAGGAAGACCCGCUGAACUUAAGCAUAUCAAUAAGCGGAGGA